CUUUCAUUGUUAUAAUUUCAGCACGCACAAUUUUCUCCUGCCGGAAACAAAGAAAGACAGCAGAAGUCUGAAGAAAAUGUCUCAGCUGAUGAAGCAAAGUGUGCCCGUACACAGCCAGAAAGGACCGCGAUUGUAGACAUUGUGGAGAAGACCUGGAAUUUGUGGGAGAAAAUGGGCAUGGAACUUGAAGACAUACCCAAAAACCUUAUGGACAUUAAGGGGGAAGAUUCCACAGAAGAGGUACCUUAAACACAGAAUGUUGAUUUUGAGGAUGUACAGGUUAUGGGAGCAUCACUUCCAGAGGUGACCAGCUUGUGAGCAUUAAUUCA